rnacentral:tRNA from 1 species
GUCCCCAUAGUUCAACAGGAUAGAACAAGUUCCUCCUAAGAAUUAAAUCCAGGUUCGAGUCCUGGUGGGGACGCCA